GACAGAGGAUGCAAGCGUUAUCCGGAAUGAUUGGGCGUAAAGCGUCUGUAGGUGGCUUCACAAGUCUCCUGUCAAAGAUCAGGGGCUCAACCCUGGACAGGCAGGAGAAACUAUGAGGCUAGAGUUCGGUAGGGGCAGAGGGAAUUCCCGGUGGAGCGGUGAAAAUGCGUAGAGAUCGGGAGGAACACCAAAGGCGAAGGCACUCUGCUGGGGCCGCAACUGACACUGAGAGACGAAAAGCGAGGGGGAGCAAAAAGGGG
rnacentral:rRNA from 1 species